GACGAACGCUGGCGGCGUGCCUAAUACAUGCAAGUUGAGCGCUGAAGGUUGGUACUUGUACCAACUGGAUGAGCAGCGAACGGGUGAGUAACGCGUGGAGAAUCUGCCUUUGAGCGGGGGACAACAUUUGGAAACGAAUGCUAAUACCGCAUAAAAACUUUAAACACAAGUUUUAAGUUUGAAAGAUGCAAUUGCAUCACUCAAAGAUGAUCCCGCGUUGUAUUAGCUAGUUGGUGAGGUAAAGGCUCACCAAGGCGAUGAUACAUAGCCGACCUGAGAGGGUGAUCGGCCACAUUGGGACCGAGACACGGCCCAAACUCCUACGGGAGGCAGCAGUAGGGAAUCUUCGGCAAUGGACGAAAGUCUGACCGAGCAACGCCGCGUGAGUGAAGAAGGUUUUCGGAUCGUAAAACUCUGUUGGUAGAGAAGAACGUUGGUGAGAGUGGAAAGCUCAUCAAGUGACGGUAACUACCCAGAAAGGGACGGCUAACUACGUG
rnacentral:rRNA from 1 species